ensembl:lncRNA
AUGGGGCGGACGCCACGGCCCCGCCGCCGCCUUCCAGCGGCUCGGCCUCCAGGUACCCGAGCAGCGGCGGCGGCGGCUCCUCGGCGCAGAUGGAGCCGUCGCGGUGCAGGACGGCGGGGCGGGCGGCGACCGCCCGAGUCUGCGCCAGGCGCCGAGCCAGGUCGGGCAGCUGGAAGUACUCAGCCUCCCGCUGGAGGCGGCUGCGCUCGGGGAAGUGCUCGGGCAGCACAAGCUGCAGGUCCCGCAGGUAGUCCAGGAUGUAGCGGAAGAGGAAGCCGUCGCGGUCGAGGAAGAAGCGACCCUUGCUGUCCCGGGGCAGCUCGCUGGGCUGCUGCUGCGAGAACAUGCGCCAGAGCAGCGAGUCGCGCACCGAGACCACGGUGCAGCGCCGCGUCACGUACACCUGCCCGCCCACGUUCAGCUCCACGAUCUCCGGGAAGGAAGCCCAGCCGCCCGUCGCCGCCGCGGCCGCCCCGCUGCCCGGCGCCCCGCUCCCCGCCGCGGGCGACACGCCGCCGCCGUUGGGCAGCCCGCGGGCGCUGUCCGCCAGGGCCAUACCGGAGCGAGCCCGCCGGAGCCCACGCCCUUCCUCCUCUUCCUCCGGCCGCCUGGGCUACGGCAGGGCCGCCGCCCUCGGGGGAGCGCGCAGCCCUCCGCUGCUGCCCGCCGCAGCCUCCCGCCCCGUCUGGCGCCGGAGCCGCGCUGCCGCUGCGCUCCCCGCGGCCGCGCCUCUGCCCGCUGCCGGACAAACUCCUCCGUCGGGCUGCGAACGGAGAGCCCCGGCACCGGCGGCACGGCCGUGUUUAUGUAGCGCGGCCGCACCUCGCGGGAGGCGUGGGAGGCUGGCGGGAGGCAGAGCCGAGCGCACGGGGAGGAGAAGGGGACGGCCCUGCACUGACGCAGGGUCCCCCGUCGUCGUCCGUCCCCCGUUCCCCCCCUCCUUUCCCGGUCCUCCUUCCCCGGUUGCUCGGGGAGCCUCUCCCCGCCCGGGCUCCCGUCGCCGUGGGCGAGCACAGCGGUGCCUGUCCGGCAGGGAUAAAACCUUGGGGGUCCCGCCUCUCUCCUGCCUCCCCUGUCCCCCUGAGCGAGGCUCCGGCUCGCUCCUCGGCUUCUCCGAGACGUCUCAUUUUCCGCAGGCAAGACGAGCCCCCUGUUUGCCCCGAAGUGCAGGAGCAGGCAAGCGGCGGGGCGCUGCUGCUCUGCCGAAGGCGCUGUGCACCCCUGCUAAUCCUCCUAAGGCUUGCCCAACCCUCUCCAAAUGAGAACUCCGGCAAGAUAACCGUGUCCCCUCCCUCCUGUCGCCUUCGCAGGAGAAAACGCGAGCCUGCGGUGCUGCCCGCUCUCUCCUCCCGCGGCUCCCCGGCCUGUUCCGGGCUUGCGAGACACCCCCAUGAAGGUCUCCGUAAAACCCCCCCGAUCCUCAUUCCCGGACGGAGACGCGCGGAUCGCACCGUCGGGAGGCGCCGGGAGCGCCGUCCAAGGGAUGCCCCGGCGGCCGGGGGAGGACCCUGGUGGCGAGGGACACCUCGGCGCCGAUGGGGUCCCCUCCAGCUGCCUGACAAGCGGCGCUUCACUGUGAGAGCCGAGCUCCUCGUGUCUGCGUGCAUAUUUGUGUAUUUAGGUGCCCUUUCAGCUCAGAUUUAA